rnacentral:lncRNA from 1 species
UGUCAUCUUCUUCCAUUGAAGCUUUCCUAAUAACAUGCCUUGCACAAGCGAGUAUGCACUCCCUCUUGCAUUCGCCCUCGUUGAAUAUCUUUAUUUGCAUGCACUCGAAGUAGCACUCCGUCAUGCAAUGCCCAUUCCCGCUUCGCUCUGCCGCUUGUACCGCAGCCGCCACCACCAGUGCCGCCACCAGAGCCACCAUAAUCAUGGUUGGGAUAACC